rnacentral:misc_RNA from 1 species
GUAUGAAAAGUUCAUGUCGGAGAUCAAAUGAUGAUGCAGGUAACUUGUAUUUGCUUGUAGUACAUGGUAUGGAAAUGUUACAGUUGUAACCUUUUGUUUUGGUGUACAAUCUUGGUUUGCACUUUUCAUGCCUUAUGUAUACACUCAUACUCACACUGUCACAGUCGCACUUACCCUAGGACAUCUAGCGAUCUUAUGAUACCUCACUGUUUU